ensembl:lncRNA
AUGAUCCAAAGUCACGCGUUGGCCCGUCUGGCUGCUUCCUGCCUGCAGACGAGGCACGAUGGCGUGUGUAUAUAUUUAUAUAUAUAUGUGUGUGACAACAGUCGGACUCGUGUGGACGUUGUGUGGGUGAUUCAAGGAGGAAGUUGUGAGUCGCUCCUCCGGGCCGUGUUCACGUACCGUGAGCUUCAGUCCACCUCCUCCCUCCUCUGCGCCGCCGACCAGAGGCCAAGGAAAGGAGACGAGGAGGACAAAGCACGCCGAUCAACAACGUAGCGGAGCAGCAGAAACCAGUUACGUCACAGCUGCCAGCGACGCGCCCGGCGAGCGGCUGGUGCUGCCGGAGAGGAGCGGCACUCAGACGCUGCUGUCGGCGGGCUGCUGGUCGGAGACGCCGCGGCCGUGACCGGUGCCGUUCGCUGAGGGACGAGUCGUGUUUGUUUGGCAGGAUCGCGUUAAGCGGGAGAGCUGGCGCGUGUUGCCUUCACGCUCUAAGACAAGCGUGGUAAAGUGGAGCUCCGUGUCGCACGGAGACUGCUCAGCGGUGUGUUGUGUGUUGGGGAGACUCGCGGACACACGCGGUUCUGUGAGGACCCUGUUCUAUUUACCCCCCCCCCCCCUCAGGAGACAUCGGGGACAUGCGGAAGGUUCCUACCCAACGACACGACAGACGUCGAUACACCACACGGUGUCACUCAGGGAGAAUCAGGACAUGAAGUCAUGAGCUGACGUCCUAACCAGGAGAUGCAGAAGAGCUAUUGGAUUAGUGCUUGUAUUGAACCAUUACCAUUAACUACGGUACUGCACGUUACGCCACGAUGACACAUUGUUAUGGUCAAUGCACAUGUUGCAUAAUCAUCCAAAUGGUUUUGAUAAAAUGCGCAUAUACUGUGAGGGAUUUUCCAAUACACGUAGUGAUGUUUAGGGUUAAAAUUGCACUUUGUGUUAUAUUAGUUAUUACAUUAGCUUGUUAGAUGAAAUAAUUGCUAUAUGAAUCGAAACAAUUUAUAGUCAUUUAAGUCAUAUAAUUACUGUACACAUUAACAAUGAUUUUAAGUAUUCCAUUUAAUUGACCAUUUUUACUUCCGUAUUCUAUGUCUUAAACUUUUAUUCUUGUUUAUUGUUUUGUUGAGGUCAUUUUCUUUUCAUUUAGCCUUUUAAUGGUUAUGUGACUCGCUUUUAAUUUCCUUUCUGUUAAAACGUGCUAGACAUUUAACCUUGCCAGUAAAAUCUGUUCAACUCAUCUCAGUAAGAUUUGUUUUGUAAUGUAUUCACGUUGGUUCUCCUCAGACAUUCGCUCAUAUUUCAUGUGACAGAAAUUUCACCCUCCAUUGUGUUAAUCGGUAUUGGAAAUUAAUAUGUAUGUUAUUGUUAUGAAAUAAAUAUCUGAAAAGGAUUUCAUCUCCACAUGUAAAAAUCAACUUCUAUGUAAAUUGCCCAUUUUCAUACGUUUUUGUUUUACUGUUUAGUCUUGAAACAUAAAUAUACAGAUAUUGUUUUAUCUUUAAAAUAAAUUAUUUUUUUUACGUAUGACUAUUACUAUCUAACAGGGGAGUAAUUGUUUUACUUCUAAGCAAUGAUCCUAAACAAUGAUGGAGCUUUUUCUUCAUUUCUUAGUGUGUAACACAACAAAAACUACUUUAGUAAUCAAAAUAUCAAAAUCAAAAUGCCGAGGGGAAAAACGCGGACAGGACGGGGACCAGGAACUCACAAACGUGGGGAAGACAUUUCCAUGAAAGACUUUCAGGAACGACAUUCAAUGACGCGACAAGGGACAAAAGACACACAUGGCUUAAAUACACCGGGAAGGUGCAGGUGAUUGGACACGGCAGACAAUCACAGGGGAAGACAGGACAAGGCAGGAAGUGAAGUUACCCAGGGAGACAAGAAGCAGAAAACUACAAAAUAAGACAGGAAAUAAAACCACACCGUGACAUAAAUAAACAAUUGAUCGCAAAAAAAGAAUCCUCAGUUUUAACAACACGCACCACAGCGAAGGGAGGAAACACAAAAAGUUGACUUCUAAUUGCUUUGGAUUUGCUAAACCCCACAAUGUUAUAACAUGUCUGAAAUCAAUUAAAUUAAAUGUAUUUUGUACUGCCCCCCCCACCCCCCCUUUACAAAGAUGAAGAAGGUGAAGAAACCUCAAGG